UACGAAGGGGGCUAGCGUUGUUCGGAAUUACUGGGCGUAAAGCGCACGUAGGCGGACAUUUAAGUCAGGGGUGAAAUCCCGGAGCUCAACUCCGGAACUGCCUUUGAUACUGGGUGUCUUGAGUGUGGAAGAGGUGAGUGGAAUUCCGAGUGUAGAGGUGAAAUUCGUAGAUAUCGAGAGGAACACCGGUGGCGAAGGCGGCGAUCUGGACGAUGACUGACGCUGAGACGCGAAAGCGUGGGGAGCAAACAGG
rnacentral:rRNA from 1 species